ACACAUGCAAGUCGAACGGAUAGCACAGCAGGAGCUUGCUCUCGGGCUGACGAGCUGNCUNACGGGGUGCAGUAAUGUCUGGGAAACUGCCUGAUGGAGGGGGAUAACUACUGGAAACGGUAGCUAAUACCGCAUAACGUCGCAAGACCAAAGAAGGGGACCUUCGGGCCUCUUGCCAUCAGAUGUGCCCAGAUGGGAUUAGCUAGUAGGUGGGGUAACNGCUCACCUAGGCGACNAUCCCUAGCUGGUACUGAGAGGAUGACCAGCCACACUGGAACUGAGACACGGUCCAGACUCCUACGGGAGGCAGCAGUGGGGAAUAUUGCACAAUGGGCGCAAGCCUGAUGCAGCCAUGCCGCGUGUAUGAAGAAGGCCUUCGGGUUGUAAAGUACUUUCAGCGGGGAGGAAGGCGAUAAGGUUAAUAACCUUGUCGAUUGACGUUACCCGCAGAAGAAGCACCGGCUAACUCCGUGCCAGCAGCCGCGGUAAUACGGAGGGUGCAAGCGUUAAUCGGAAUUACUGGGCGUAAAGCGCACGCAGGCGGUCUGUCAAGUCGGAUGUGAAAUCCCCGGGCUCAACCUGGGAACUGCAUUCGAAACUGGCAGGCUGGAGUCUUGUAGAGGGGGGUAGAAUUCCAGGU
rnacentral:rRNA from 1 species